CAGAGAUAACAUGGAAUAAUACAUCAAUAAUUGGUUAGGUGUUAAGUGGUUCAUUUAGUGCUCUGCCUACUGGGGGUGAUGUCACUGGUAUCUUGGAGGUCUCCCCCAGAUUCCAGCGCCAUCUUGUUAAUAAGGGUGUUAGUCGAUGUCAAAGGGAAACUCCCGAGCGGCCGUUUUAGGUAAAUCACAUAUAAGGUUGAAUAAUGCUGAUUGUAGUUAUACUGAGUAAAUAGGCAUUUAUUUAUAUGAAUUGGGUUAAUAUUUUUGUUCACAACAGAUAGCAUGUGUUUUGU